UGCAAAGCUAGAAUGAGACUUCAAACAAGAUAAGGCACCGAUUAAAAUGAUAAGAAAGUGCUAUGGAAUAGUGCAUAACAGCAAACAUUCACUUACAUAGAAAAACAGAAAAGAAAAUCAAUCAAAUAGUACAUACUUGAAGCAAUGACAGUAUGUAAAUUGAAUGACAGUUUGGAAGCAAGAAAAUGGACUUAUCUGAAACGUGAAUCAUCCAACCAUAGCUCUGAUACCACUUGAUACACCAGGCUUGGUGCAUUCUUGGAGAUCCACGAGAGCUGAGUUCAGGCGAGGAGAUUCAACCGAUUGAAUGGCUUGAAACUGGUGCAGCAGAGAAACAGAUCUGUGGCAGCGGUAGUUUCCAGAUCUGGAUGGAGGAAUUUGUGGUAGGGAAGCAGCGGAGGAAAGUGUUUAACAAAGGUGAACUGGAUGGAGGCUAGCUUGAAGAGAUGGUUACAACUCAGAAGNCUUCCACAAGAGGAAGAAAGUUGAAUUGGAGAAACAAGCAAUGAGGAGGACUUUCGGAGAAGAGAAUUGACAAGCAAUUUCUGCAGAAUUUCUUCAUAUAUCCAAAAGUGCAUACAUGGUGCAGCCAAGGUGAGUUUUAUAGACUCCUCACACUUUGGCAUAUGAUGGAAAACGUGAUUAU
rnacentral:lncRNA from 1 species